UGAUAAGACGUUUUUCCAUACCUUAAACUAUUCUGGCAGGCCGCUCUCUAGUUCGCACUUGAAUAUUAUAUUCUACUAUCUUAGGAAGAAGGCGAAAUAUGGAAUUAAUAUGCCAAUCAAAGUCACAACUACAGAUACUCUUUUUAAUAAUAUCAUUCAAAGGGUUUUCACAGAAUUUGUAAAAGGUGGGAAACAAGAUCAUUUGAUUGAUAGAUCAGACGAUAUCAUGGAGUACAUGAAAGGAUUUAGGAUGCAUU